ACAAACAGAUGGAAUGUGAAUGGUCUGGAAGCUUGUGGUGCAAAGAACAGAGGCUUUUAUAGGAGCUGUGGUGAUUGUGGGCAGGUGAGUCCAGAGCUGCAGCUGUGGGUGGUUGUCCUGAUUAGUGCUGAGAUGCACAGGGGCAGAGAGGGA